CGCGAAUGGCUCAUUACAACAGCUAAAAUUUACUCGAUCUUGACACAAUCCUACUUGGAUAACUGUGGUAAUUCUAGAGCUAAUACAUGCAUUAAAGCUCUGACCUUCGGGGAAGAGUGCAUUUAUUAGAACAAAACCAAGCGGCUUCGGCUGUUUUCGGUUGACUCAUAGUAACUGAGCUGAUCGCAUGGUCUUGCACCGGCGACGUGUCGUUCAAGUAUCUGCCGUAUCAACUUUCGAUGGUAGUGUAUCUGACUACCAUGGUGAUCACGCGUAACGGAGAAUAAGGGUUCGACUCCGGAGAGUUCGCCUGAGAAAUCGCGAACACAUCUAAGGAAGGCAGCAGGCGCGAAAAUUACCCACUCUCAGCACGGGGAGGUAGUGACGAAAAAUAACGAGACCGUUCUCUUAUGAGGCCGGUCAUCGGAAUGGGUACAAUUUAAACCCUUUAACGAGUAUCUAUGAGAGGGCAAGUCUGGUGCCAGCAGCCGCGGUAAUUCCAGCU
rnacentral:rRNA from 1 species